CCUACGGGAGGCAGCAGUGAGGAAUAUUGGUCAAUGGGCGUAAGCCUGAACCAGCCAAGUCGCGUGAGGGAUGAAGGUUCUAUGGAUCGUAAACCUCUUUUAUAAGGGAAUAAAGUGCGGGACGUGUCCCGUUUUGUAUGGACCUUAUGAAUAAGGACAGGCUAACUCCGUGCCAGCAGCCGCGGUAAUACGGAGGAUCCGAGCGUUAUGCGGAUUUAUUGGGGUUAAAGGGUGCGUAGGCGGCCUUUUAAGUCAGCGGUGAAAGUCUGUGGCUCACCCAUAGAAUUGCCGUUGAAACUGGUAGGCUUGAGUAUGUCUGCGGCAGGCGGACUGCGUGGUGUAGCGGUGAAAUGCUUAGAUCUCAC
rnacentral:rRNA from 1 species